UUUAUGUACUUAUAUUUUUAUUGUUUGACGUUUUCAUCUUUCACAGCUUUCCAAAUUUUUAUUGUAUUUCUUUUUUCUUUUCCGAUUCAAUUAUUACAGAAACGUUGACAACGUAAUCUCAUUAUUAAUUUUCAUCAUUUUCUGUGUAAAUGUCCGAUCAAACCGUAAAGAGACGAGUUGGUGAGACCGAGAAGCAAGCGAAUGUGGUAGAGUCCCGGUGAAGAGAUGACGCGACCUUCAACUCCAAUCGCAGAUCACGUUGGGUCUUAUCGAAGUAAAGAUAAAUUUUGUCUCUAGUUUGUUAGAUUUGAUUUCUGGGUAGAUCUAAGCUUGAUUCAAACGAAUUUGAGAGAGGUAAUCAUAUUUUCUAGUUUGGUAGAUUCGAGCUUGAUUUGAACGAUUCCGAGUGUUGUGUACUCUUUAAAUUGGUAGAUUCAAGUUUGAUUUCAACAAUUCUGGGUGUUGCAACGAAUUUGAUAGAAAAUUUGGUAAUUUAAAGGCAGGUGAAGUUUUCGAUUCUCUAGCCCUUUGAUGGAGAUGGGCUGUAAACGUCGGAGAUGGAGAAUGAAGGGCUAAUCUCCUCAAUUGAUUUGAUCAUUUUUUUGAGUGAUAUCCUUGGGUUUCCUAUAAAUUAUCUUCUUAGGGUUUAGUAUUGUUCCAUCAAAAAAAAAUUAAUUGAUUAUUUGAGUUCAUCAUAACCAACGUUUUGAUGCCGUGAGUUGUCGGAGAAGAAGAGAUGGAGAAGAUGGCUUCUGAUUGAGUGAAAUUGCAAGGGUAAUUUCGGCAGCCUAACUCACAUAAGUACCUUUAUCCAUAAGCCCAUUGUAAAUGUGUCUAAUUUCUAGUUUUUGGAUUAGAAAGUGCCAAUUCUCAAAAAGCCCCCAAAUAAAUACAUAAUUUUUUUUUUUUGCACCACUAAAUAUAUAAAUUUAAUAAAUUGAAAUUGCGUAGAUUUUUAUAAAAUAAAAGACAUGAGCAAAAAAUAAAAAGCUAAUUAAAGAAAACUUGUUAACAACCGACAAACUAAUUGCCACUGGUAAAUUUAAAAUCAUACGUAGUAUCUGUUAGGAACUG
rnacentral:sRNA from 1 species